rnacentral:rRNA from 1 species
CAAUAGCGUAUAUUAAAGUUGUUGCGGUUAAAAAGCUCGUAGUUGGAUUUCUGUUGGGAACGACCGGUCCGCCCAUUGGGUGUGUAUCUGGCUUGUUCUCGGCAUCUUCUUGGUGAACGUUGCUGCACUUGACUGUGUGGAGCGCUACCCAGGACUUUUACUUUGAGGAAAUUAGAGUGUUUCAAGCAGGCAUAUGCCUUGAAUACAUUAGCAUGGAAUAAUAAGAUAGGACCUCGGUUCUAUUUUGUUGGUUUCUAGAGCUGAGGUAAUGAUUAAUAGGGAUAGUUGGGGGCAUUCGUAUUUAACUGUCAGAGGUGUAAUUCUUGGAUUUGUUAAAGACGGACUACUGCGAAAGCAUUUGCCAAGGAUGUUUUCAUUGA